GAUCAAGAAUACAAAGAAAGGCCAAUUUAAGGAUUCAUGACAGGUUCAACAAAACCUAUAGUUAUUUGUAUUAGAGUAAAUGUUUCUCAAUUUGAUUCUUCUGACACAUAUAUCUGCUGAUAAAAUAGUUCUGGUAUUUCAAGAUUUCUGUUGUAUUUUAGUUUGCCUCCAGUCGAGUAUUCAGUUUUCCUUUACACUAACCCAGUUCGAUAAAGAUCAUCCAAGAAAUUCUACUGCGGAAAGUAAUCGCCAAGCAACAG
rnacentral:lncRNA from 1 species